AAGGACCGAAGGGUGGGAGUUUCGCCCCCAUGGGCCGCAGGUCCUGAGGAUUAUACCACACCGUCUUGAUUGCCAUUUUAUUCGUGAGAUCCGAUCAGCCCAGGUGAUCUAUGUAAGAAUUGGACUAAAUGUGGAAAUCCACUUCUGGAAAAUGUCUGACAGCCACUCUUUACCACUGUUGCCUGCAACAGAGCUGGUCACGCAUCGCAAGGGAUUAGGACCAAAAUUGAGGCAUCCAGCACCCCGUGUUUCCCACCUGGGUGGAAAAGCGGAGGGAAGCGCCAGGGCGGAACUGGCUGCUGUGUCUCAAGGACUCUAGGAGAAGCCUCGGUCCCCGGGGCGGCAAAGGGGACCCGAGUGAGGCUUGAGGACUUAGAAAUGACAAUGGCGCCAGGGAGCGUCCCAGAUACCGGCUUCCAAGCGGCUAAAGCGGCUGAGGCGCGAAGAAGAAGCAGCUGCCUCGCUUCAGAUAGACGGGCACUUGCUGUCCCCUGCCGAGCCUGGAACAGGCUGCUCGCCGGGACCACGGCCUCCUACUGCCUCCUCUCACCACUUCAAGAGACACCAUCUCCUAAAGACUCAAAGGUGAAAAGCAAAACCUGAACGCGGCCAUGACCCGCAUCCAGGAAAAGAAACACCUGCGACGGCUCUGCGCCUCCCCCCGCCCCAGUGCAUGCCUCCCUCCUGACACCCCUUCAAAGGCAUACGGGGACACAGGUCCCCGCAGCCUCGUGGCCACUGCUUCUCAUCACGCUGGCUGCACAUCCCAGCCGCAGGAGCACCAAGUCAGACGGGGAAACAACCGCACGGCCCGGCCCUGCUGCUCAGGACAGGCUCAGCGCUGACAAGACUGGUGGUGGAGAGAAAUUGCCAAGAUGCUAAGAAACUUGAGAAGCCACCUCUGCAGCAGGGCUGGGACGGGUGAGGGGAAAAGAACUUACUUUCAUUUUAUACUUUUUCCAUG
rnacentral:lncRNA from 1 species